ensembl:lncRNA
CCAUGUGGUUCUCUGAAUGAACUAUAACAUCAAGAGAGUUUCAGUCAAAAGUUGUUUUCCAUUUGGUUAGCACAGAGAAAGAAAAAAAACUUUGAAUGUGUCAUUAAGUUUUUGUUUAUGAAGGUAGUUUUAAAGCAGAUUAUUUGUUUGUUCUCUAUACAAUUUCCAAAGUCAGAUAUAAUUUCUUCCUCUUAUAUGCCCGAGGAAGGAUGUUAGGAAUGAGGAGAGUUUCCAAGGCUCAGAUUCCAGGAUGACAUUGCUGGCGUGCUCCACACAGGACAAGACUAAUUCCAUGAUAUUUGCCUCUCUUGAAUAAAUGGUGACUCAUCUCUGAACCUCAAAUUUCAGUCUCAGCUACCUAGGAAUCAGCAACAAUCAGAGAAAAGGGAUGUAGGGCAGUUACAGUAAAAACAAACAAAAGAACAGAAAAUCAAAGAGCAGCAAAAAAACAACACUGCCAAAUAAAACCUCCCCUCCCCUGCCCUUCCUUCCUUUUCUUUCCCUUUCUCCUUCUUAGGGGAAAGAAGCAGUGGGGAAAAGAAAAAAGAAAAAAGAAAGAAAGAAAGAAAAAAGAAAGAAAGAAAGAAAGAAAGAAAGAAAGAAAGAAAGAAAGAAAGAAAGAAAGAAAGAAAGAAAGAAAGAAAGAAAGAAAGAAAGAAAGAAAGAAAGGAAGAAAGAAAGAAAGAAAGAAAGAAAGAAAGAAAGAAAGAAAGAAAGAAAGGAAGAAAGAAGGAAAGAAGGAAAGAAAGAAAGAAUUAAAAAAAAGAAAGAAAAUAAAAAAAAAACACUUUCUUUCCAGAAGUCUUUAAACCAUUGCAGCUGCCUUCUGCAGUGGAGUGGGAGAUUGCUGUGCAAGAGAGGACUCCAAAAACCAAGGAUAAAACAGUUCUCAAGAGAACAGAUCAUCUGACAAAGAGGAGCCUACUAACAAGGCCUUCUUGCUUCAGCAUCAAGAGGCAUCGUGCUCACAGACUUUCAUCUUGAUGGGAGAUUUCAACCGCAUGGAUGUAAGCUGGGAAAACAACAUGGAAGGUUGAAAAUAUUCCAAGAGACUGCUGAAGAUAACUACCUGGUCCAGGUAUUGGACAGAUCAACUAGAGGUGAAGCAUUGCUGGACCUGGUGCCCAGCAAUGCAGAGAAAAUAAUUGGAGAUGUUAAAGUUGGAGACAGUCUGGACUGUAGAGACCACGUCCUGGUUGAGUUCAUGAUCUCAAGAAACACAGGCCUAGCAAAGAAUUGAGUCAGGACCCUGAACUUCAGAAGAAGGAACUAUUGGCAGUUUAAGAAUUAUUGGAGAAGAUUCCUCUGAGAGACUGUUCUUAAGGACAUAGGAAAAAAUGUACCUGGUAGCUCUAUAAGGAUAUAUUUCUGAGACCUUUUCAACCCCCAGCAUAAUAAAUCAAAUACAGGAGGCGGGAAAUCAGCAAGGCUGAGCAAGAAUUGAUUGGUCAAAUCAAGGGACAAGAUGGAAAAGUACAGAUGGUGGAAGCAGGGACAUAUGGCCUGGGAAGAAGGGAUGCCAUCCGGACAUGCAGGGAUGAGAUCAGAAAAGCCAAGAUGCAGGUGGAGCUGAACUUGAUGAGGGAUGUGAAAAAUAACAAGUCUUUCUUUAGGUAUACCGGUCCGAAGAGACAAGCAAACUGGCUUCAACAGACACGGAGAAGGAUGACGUACUGAAGAAGUUCUUUUCCUUGAUCUUCUCUGCUAGUUAGGCUUAUCAUGUCUCUUAUGUCCCUGAAACUCAAGGCACCUGUCCGGAAAGAGAAUAACAACAUAUCCCAGAAGACUGCGUUCAGAGAGGAGAUAUAACCCCUGGCAGGGUCACCUGACUUCUCUUUUUUCCUUCAGCUCUCCUCCCUGCUGCUCGACCUGACUGCACAUCUCGCCUCAGCGUUGUGCAUUCUAUUCACCUACUGAGAGGCUGCACAGAAACCAGUGACACCAGCUUUUCAGCUACUAGGAUAUCCCAGGAUCAACUGAAAUUAAUGUGCAGCAAAUGGACUGCGAAAGAAAGGAAGAAAGGAAGAAAGGAAGAAAGGAAGAAAGGAACAAAGGAAGAAAGGAAGAAAGGAAGAAAGAAAGAAAGAAAGAGAGAAAGAAA